GUGUCGCAAGAGUGGUUAAAUGCAUAGGAGUAAAAGAAAUGGAGUGGCGUACGGAUUUUUUUUUUUUUUUGUGGGAAAUUUAAGCGGACAUUCUAAGAAAACAACUCAUGUUAUGAUAAGAUGGCCAGCAAUCAAGAAAGACAUUGUAACGCGUCGACUCUUUCGGCUUCCGUCGUAAAGCGGCGUUGUUUCCUCAAGUCAUUUUCAAGCUCAUUUUUGGGGAACCAGCGGACGAUUGGAAAAGGCCCAUAUAAGAAGCAAGCAAAGGAUUGGCUAAAAUACAUGUUUUGGACUUUUAAUACCCUUCGAAAAAGUUUGUCAUCAGCAGAGGAGGGAGGGAGUAAACUAAAGAUCCUGGUGAGGAAUAACAGUAAAUAAAUUAUAUUGUAUAUAGCUACAAUAUAAGUAUAGCUAGCUACAAUUUGUGUGUUUGGCUAUUUAAAUUUAAAAGAAAAAGCUGCUUGUUGGCAAGGUUCUCCCAGCCCGACUAGAUGAAUUUGGGCAAACACCCGUUUAGUCAAUCCGUUAGACCUGUUCAAUCAGAAACAGAGAGAGCAGUUGUGACCAACAAACCAUGUUAGGCUGAUUUAAGGUGUUUUUCAGCAGGAUAAAAACUAGCUCAAAGCUAACAUUGAUGUUCAGUAAGCCUAUAAGUAAUAAACUUAAACGUUAGAUGUUAA